rnacentral:rRNA from 1 species
UACGUAGGGGGGCUAGCGUUGUCCGGAAUCAUUGGGCGUAAAGAGCGUGUAGGCGGCCCGGUAAGUCCGCUGUAAAAGUCAAAGGCUCAACCUUUGAAUGUCAGUGGAUACUGCCGGGCUAGAGUCCGGAAGAGGCGAGUGGAACUCCUGGUGUAGCGGUGGAAUGCGCAGAUAUCAGGAGGAACACCGAUGGCGAAGGCAGGUCUCUGGGCUGAAACUGACGCUCAUGCACGAAAGCGUGGGGAGCAAACAGG